GGGGAGCAGCCCAGAGUCUGAAUCAGCUUGUGUGUUAGUGGAACGGUCUGGAAAGUCCGACGGUACAGGGUGAUAGUCCCGUACACCAAAAUGCACAGGUUGUGAACUCGAAGAGUAGGGCGGGACACGUGGUAUCCUGUCUGAAUAUGGGGGGGACCAUCCUCCAAGGCUAAAUACUCCUGACUGACCGAUAGUGAACCAGUACCGUGAGGGAAAGGCGAAAAGAACCCCGGCGAGGGGAGUGAAAAAGAACCUGAAACCGUGUACGUACAAGCAGUGGGAGCACCUUCGGGUGUGACUGCGUACCUUUUGUAUAAUGGGUCAGCGACUUAUAUUCUGUAGC
rnacentral:rRNA from 1 species